rfam:Candidatus Atelocyanobacterium thalassa isolate ALOHA, complete genome.
AUUAGACUUUGGUUAAUAUCAAAGACAGCAGGUGCAAAUAGCAUAAUAAUCCUGCCGAGGUAAAACCUGAAGGAUCAAGCUUAAUAAAUUUUUAUUAUUAUGA